CCCAAUACUUCCGUAGGUGAACCUGCGGAGGGAUCAUUACUGAGUUUACGCUCUACAACCCUUUGUGAACAUACCUAUAACUGUUGCUUCGGCGGGUAGGGUCUCCGCGACCCUCCCGGCCUCCCGCCUCCGGGCGGGUCGGCGCCCGCCGGAGGAUAACCAAACUCUGAUUUAACGACGUUUCUUCUGAGUGGUACAAGCAAAUAAUCAAAACUUUUAACAACGGAUCUCUUGGUUCUGGCAUCGAUGAAGAACGCAGCGAAAUGCGAUAAGUAAUGUGAAUUGCAGAAUUCAGUGAAUCAUCGAAUCUUUGAACGCACAUUGCGCCCGCCAGCAUUCUGGCGGGCAUGCCUGUUCGAGCGUCAUUUCAACCCUCAAGCUCUGCUUGGUGUUGGGGCCCUACAGCUGAUGUAGGCCCUCAAAGGUAGUGGCGGACCCUCUCGGAGCCUCCUUUGCGUAGUAACUUUACGUCUCGCACUGGGAUCCGGAGGGACUCUUGCCGUAAAACCCCCAAUUUUCCAAAGGUUGACCUCGGAUCAGGUAGGAAUACCCGCUGAACUUAAGCAUAUCAAUAAGCGGAGGAAGUAUU
rnacentral:rRNA from 1 species